CCCUUAGAUGUCCUGGGCCGCACGCGCGUUACACUGAUGCAUUCAACGAGCUUAUAACCUUGCCCGAGAGGCCUGGGCAAUCUUGUUAACGUGCAUCGUGAUGGGGAUAGAUUAUUGAAAUUAUUAAUCUUGAACGAGGAAUUCCUAGUAAACGCAGAUCAUCAAUCUGCAUUGAUUACGUCCCUGCCCUUUGUACACACCGCCCGUCGCACCUACCGAUUGGAUGGUCCGGUGAAGCCUCGGGAUUGUGGUUCUUGCCGCUUUAUUGUGGCGUGACCGCGAGAACUUGUCUAAACCUUAUCAUCUAGAGGAAGGUGAAGUCGUAACA
rnacentral:rRNA from 1 species